UACGGAGGGGGCAAGCGUUAAUCGGAAUUACUGGGCGUAAAGCGUGCGUAGGCGGUUUGUUAAGUCCGUUGUGAAAGCCCCGAGCUCAACUUGGGAAUUGCAGUGGAUACUGGCAGGCUGGAGUACGGUAGAGGAAGGUGGAAUUCCCGGUGUAGCAGUGAAAUGCGUAGAGAUCGGGAGGAACAUCAGUGGCGAAGGCGGCCAUCUGGGACAACACUGACGCUGAAGCACGAAAGCGUGGGGAGCAAACAGG
rnacentral:rRNA from 1 species